GAACAGAGCAACAAGUGCGUCAGUACACUUCAGCAGCCAGUCUCUCACUGUUUACAACAGAGAAUUAUAACGACAUCUGCUGUAGAGUCCCAACCCCCUGGGACCUGCAAACAACAAUGUCACAAAGAAGGAUUUCAAUGUUUUUUGCUCCAAAAGUGGUUGGCAGCCAAGGAGGUAUGAUAGCAGAUAAGGAUGCAGUCAGGGUUCAUGCAGGAGACCAAAGGGAGGAGAGUGCAAGUUCAGAGAUAAGGGCAGAGUCAGCAUACAUAGAUGCAGCUGCCAGUGAUGCUGCUGACCAGAGUGAGGACAGUGCAAGUGCAAGUGCAGAACUGCCUCGCAGAACAGCAUGAUCGAAUGUUGUGCUGAUGAAGUGACUGCAACCAUCGUAGAAGAGAUCAAGGCAUCGAAAAUGUAUGCAGUGAUGGCUGAUGAGGCA
ensembl:lncRNA